rnacentral:rRNA from 1 species
UACAGAGGUCUCAAGCGUUGUUCGGAUUCAUUGGGCGUAAAGGGCGCGUAGGCGGCGGGGUCAGUCGGGUGUGAAAUCUUGGGGCUUAACCCCGAAACGGCACUCGAAACUGCCCGGCUGGAGGGCCGGGAGGAGGAGGAUCGGAAUUCAGCGGUGUAGCAGGUGAAAUGCGUAGAGAUCGUGAGGAAGACCGUGGCGAAGGCG